rnacentral:lncRNA from 1 species
AGAGCUCUCUCACUGUCACUUAUGGAGUCUAUAUUUAUGACAUUUUGCUUUCUCACAGGUAUUUGGCAGUAUCCAGUAUUGCUAAGGGUGAUGCAAUUCCUACUUCCACUCUACCCCCCGGGCCUCCUGGCAUAGAGGCUGUCUUACCAAGGCUAAUGCAAACAUUGGAAAUGACUCCUUGGAGACCGUACGAAGAUGGGCAUGGGAAAUGUAACCGACUCACUGCUGCCAAUUGGUACGGAUGGGGAAAGAGAGCCUGAUGGGAGCAUUUGGUCAAAUUGCAUGGAAAGACAUCCUAAAAGCUGUAUGAAACAGAGAAACCCUGCUGCAGAGGAGCACACCGACCUGUCACAUUCACUCCACUUCCACCUAACACCUCUGAGGCCAGUUUUUCCUCCAAGUUGUCCUGGCUGGAAAACGUGGAGCAACUGGUAA